rnacentral:rRNA from 1 species
CAGCAGCCGCGGUAAUACGUAGGGUGCGAGCGUUAAUCGGAAUUACUGGGCGUAAAGCGUGCGCAGGCGGUUUUGUAAGACAGGCGUGAAAUCCCCGGGCUCAACCUGGGAAUGGCGCUUGUGACUGCAAAGCUAGAGUGCGGCAGAGGGGGAUGGAAUUCCGCGUGUAGCAGUGAAAUGCGUAGAUAUGCGGAGGAACACCGAUGGCGAAGGCAAUCCCCUGGGCCUGCACUGACGCUCACGCACGAAAGCGUGGGGAGCAAACAGGAUUAGAUACCCCUGUAGUCCCUGUCUCUUAUAA